GUGUUGGGGGCCUUCGGCUUCCGAAGGUCCUCAAAAACAUGAUUUAACAAUGUUUCUGGAGUAUAAUGUGUGAACAGGUAUCUUCGGACUUGAAUCAGAAAGGGAGAAGCUCAAAAGAUACGAAGGUUGACACAGUGCCGAAGCUGUGAAGCAGGAAAGCUUCAGCAUGUUCGCAGAAAGGGGAACCGACUUAAAGAUGAAAAGGCCAUUUAGACCUCGAUAGAAUGCUAUAGAAUUAUCACCAAAUGUAAAGGGCAUGUAUGUAAUUUUGUAUGGGUUGUACCCCGUGCCUAUAAAUAGGUGAACAGUACCCCCGUACUGUUCACGCUAACUUGUCAUUUGCUUUCGCAUCACGCUUGUACUUUCGCCUUCCGCAGGACCGAAGGUACAUUUGUAAUUCAAAGUCAUUUAUAUUCAAUGGUACAAAUAGAGAUAAUUCUAUGACAAUAUUUAAAUGUUUAUUUCAUAUUCUAUGAUUUAUGUGAAUGCUUCAUUCUUCGUUGUUAUGCUUACGAAGGUAUGUCCUUCGUAACCUUCGUCCGAGAUGCUUUAUAUCCCGAAGGGAUAUAUCGUUAUGGAGGACGAAGGGCCUUAACACUUAACAUUUUUUGUGUUGCCUUGUUCUUAAUUCUUAGCAUUUGAGAACAAGUCGCCAACAUUGGCGCCCACCUCCGGUGAACUCACUUCCACUUCGAGUCUUCGUGAACACCUUCGGAAGCUAUAGACCUUCGCUAUGGCACCGAAGAAAGCUUCAGCGGCUGGGGCUGCAGCACUACAACCGCUGGACCACAACCAGGAGACCGUCUCCCUUCGGGAGGCCAGAAGCCAGAAGAGAAAAGCUGCUAGCCCGACGCUUGAGGAAGAAGAGCUAGACCAAGAAAUCAGAGAGAUGGAGAUGCUACAUCAACAAGUGCAGAGGAAGAAGGAGAAGAUGGCCCGCCUAGCUGAGUUGCAAAGGCAAAUUGACGAAGCUUCUGAGGAAGUUCGUCAUCUCACUCACGAUGAGCAGAACAGAAGGCCUCAUCAGAAAGACCUUCAUCAGGAGGGCUUCGUCAACGAAGACGACUGGUAUGAUAAUUUCCAUCAGGGAAAUUUUGUUUUUGAUGAUGCUUCUCCUCUGUCUGCUGAGCUGCAGGCUACUCCUUGGCCUCCAUCCUAUAAGCCACCCCAGCUCCCCAUGUUUGACGGCCACUCCGACCCGAAGCAAUUCUUGAUGAGCUACGAAGCAACAGUGUCUUCGUACGGGGGCAACGCUGCAGUCAUGGCGAAGUCUUUCGUCAUGGCCGUCAGGAAUGUUGCUCAGACCUGGUAUUCCUCCCUUCGGCCAGGAACAAUCACUUCAUGGCAGAAGCUGAAGGAUAUGUUACUGACCAGCUUUCAAGGAUUUCAAACGAAGCCGGUUACAGCUCAAGCCCUCUUCCAGUGUAUUCAGGAUCACGAAGAAUACCUUCAGGCGUAUGUCCGAAGGUUCUUACGAUUGAGGGCGCAGGCACCAACGGUGCCCAAUGAAAUCGUUACCGAAGCCAUGAUCAAGGGGCUUCGUCCUGGACCUGCAGCUCAAUACUUUGCUCGGAAGCCUCCUCAGACCUUGGAGAAAUUGCUCCAAAAGAUGGAUGAGUACAUUCGUGCCGACAAUGACUUUCGCCAGAGAAGGGAGGAGGCCUUCAGAUUUUCUGAGAUGACCAGGGGCUUCGGAGGAAGAUACUACCCGAGGCAUGUCCGUUCCAUUCACAGCACUCAGAAUGAUGAUAAGGGGAGUCAGCAAAACAGGCCGCAGUGCUCGGGGCAACAACAAACUUCCUUUCGGCCACCAGCUCCAAGAGGCAGAGGCGCCAGGGGCUUCGGCGGAAGAUUCGGAGAUCAGCCAAGGAGACUGUUUUGCCUAUUCUGUGGAGAGGGCAAGGGCCACACCACUAGGACGUGCCAUGUUACAAUCCAGAAGCAAAAGGAACUAGCCGAAGCUGCAUCUCAACAAGCUCAGUCGAAGCAGGUUAUGCAUACCGCUUCGUUUCAUCCACCUUAUGUCCCACAAUACAUAGACAACCACCCUGCGGCUUCUGUAGCUUCGGCAAGUCAACCUCAAGCUUCCUGGCAGCAGCUUCCGCCUCCACCUCCAUUGCAGCAAGGUCAACAGCCAGAAGGGAGUCAAUACGCUCCACAGCAGAGGGACUUCAGAGAACAGUCCGAAGCUCGCACAGUCAACAGCACUGUGCCUGAGUCGAAGCACAUUUAUUGACAUAUCCUACCUUUGAUAGCAGUCUUUUCUAUUCAGUUUUAUUUUCUGUGAAGCAAAAAACAUUGAUAGUUUCCAUGUAAUAAUUUCGUUGUUUCCACGAGAAAAAUUUAUUUGAUUCACAGGCCUAAGUUACCGAAGCCUAAAAUUUCUUCCGUUACCAAGAAGGACCUUCGGACUAAAAAUCCUUCGGAGUAACAAAAAGUCGUUCUAAGGAACGCAGAGUAAGUUUAUAAAGUCACAAAAAGUCGUUCCAAGGGGAGCGCAGCGUAAGUUUUCUGCUCAGAAGUCGUUCCUAAAGGAAUGCAGAGCCUACAGCGAAAAAUCAACGCUGAUACCGUCUAAGUAAAAGACGAAGAAGCUCCUAAGGGAGACUUACAGCGAAAAGUCAACGCUGAUGCCGUCUAAGUAAAAGACGAAGAAGCUCCAAAGACGUUCCUAAGGGAAUGCAGAGCUUACGAAUAUAUUUUAUGUGUGUCUUCGGAACAAAUGUCACAUGCAUAACAUAACAUCAUCACAUCAUUUUGCAUAGCAUAAGCAUCAUACAUCAUAUCGCAUUUGGCAAGAGAAGGGGACACUCUCAACCUUCGAAGCGAUGCUUCGAAAAAGUGACAUUGAAAUUGUAUAGCUUCGGAAUACAGUUUCGGGGAAUAUUUUCAUGAAACAUGGGCGAACUUUAUCAGAUCAAUAUCAAAGUUGCAUAUCUUCGGAAAAUAGCUUCGGAAAAUGUUUUCACGAAGCAUCGAUGUCAUUCAUCAGAAUAAUUUUGACGAAGGCUAUCUUCUUCACGACGCAUGAAAAGAAGGGAAGGUGUUUUUUCGCCGAAGGCUCAAAAGUGGUAUGUAUUUAAAGUUUCAUGCAUCGUAAAGAAUUCAAUAAUGAAAAGAGACUUGUAUAUUACAUUCAAAUGUACAAAGUGUUGCAUAGAUUACACUUUAAAUGUUUUUUCCAAAUAGCACCUAAUCUUCCCUCAAUACUGCUUCGGCGGCUUCAUUCAGAAGUUGGUCAACAACCUUGUCCAUGAUAGUUUCGGCCAUUUGAUUAAUUUCUUCAUCCCCUUUUGUGUGGGGGUCGGCAGAUCGUCCAACAGUUUCUGAGCGAAGAAAACACUUCUUCAGUACUUUUGCAAAUCGUGAGCAAAGUUUAAAAUGAAAAUUACAACGCAACAAGAACGACUACUUGGUACCUAACUGUCCUUCAGGCUCCCUACUCCUUUCGGCAGCGUCUGCUACUCUUCUAGCAUCGCGAAUGCCUUUUUCGCUUCUUUCAAUGAUCUCUCGCGCCAUUCCUCGGCCGCCGUCGUUCCAGAUAUCAGUAAAAAAUUUGCCGCCAACCACGCUCGCUUCGGCCGAGGGGUCCUUGAUGUCUUCGGUAGAUAAGGUAGCUUCGGAUUGAGCUAAAAAUUUUACAUGUUCGCAACCUUUCUUCUCCAGGACGGAAGCAAUUCCUCUGGCGCCCGAAAAAGCACAUAUGUCGCCACGACUGUUCAGAAUCUCUUCGAAGGCCUCUGCUUCGUGGCUAAUCCAUUCCAGCGGACCUUCGGGAUUGCCUCGAGAGAAAUUCUCUUCGCUGGAAAAGGCGCCUACGCUGGCGAAGCUGGAUUUAAUUUUAUUCACACAUUCUACAGAUUUGACAUAGCAUUUCCCCUGAGAUGUGCGAAGCUCCUUAACUUUUGAUUCCAAUUUGUUGACCAUAAAAUCACUAAGUUCUCGUUUCGUUUCCUCAAGCACGCGCUCCUCUUUAGCUCUAGCCAGCUGUUUCUGAAGAUCUUUAAUCUCGCGCUUUUGAGCUUCGGCCUGGGCCUUUGAAGCAGCUUCGUCUUUUUUCACUUUAUCUACCAGUGUAAGUAGAAUUUUAUCUUUUUCCAAAGCUUCGUUUCUCAGUUUGAUAACUUCGGAGCGUAAAUUAUUAAACGCAAUUUCAUAACUUUCAUCUUCGGCGUUCUUUUGCGCUCUUAACGCGUUGCUUAGGAUCAGGCCCUAUAUGCAAAAAGAAUUCAUAUAAGAAAAAAGGAAUGCGUUGCGUAAAAAAAUAGGGGGUUGCGUAAAAAGAAUUCAAGUGUUUAAUUCCCGUACCUUCAGGCUAUUGUACGCGAGGCUGUCUGCGAGAUCCUCUUUCGUCAUGGCACUUAACCCAGCUUCAAGCUUCGGAAAGCCUAUGCUUCUCGCCAUCUCUCGGCAGACGGAUAGCUCUUUGUUAUCAGGCAGGCAGUAUAAGAAGUCAUCUUCAUUUGUUCCAUUGAAUAUUACUGCCCCCUUCGGAUAUUUCAGCUCCUUUGCAUAAUGGAUGGCCUCAUGAGUUUCUUCCUCAGAUAGCUUUUUUCCCGAAGCAUGUCGUAUGAUGUAAUCACACAUGCUGGCAGGCGCUUCGGGGAUGGCAGUGUCCGUCUCUUCAACUAAAAUUGGUUCUGGUAUUUUUAUCGCUUCGGCUUCCAAAGUUUCUUCCUUGAAGGGCUCUGAAGGCCCAGCUUCAGCUUCAGUUUGUUGUGUCGGAGCUUCAAAGGAAGCUUCAGCAAUUUCAACACUCUUUUUUGGAGUUGUGCUUGAAGACUUAAUUGUCUCCAAGACAUCUAGUACAUUUACCAUUCUUUUCCUUUUUGGGGUCACCAUUGGAGCCUUUUGGAUUUUUGUUGCUUCAAUGUUUAUUGCAGGACUUAAAAUUUCUGAGGUUUUUUCCUUAGUCACAUUUUUCGCUUCUUCCAUUUCUUCUGUCGAUGGUGCUUCGGCCAUCUCUGCAAUUUCUGGCAAUAAGAGUGGCCGUUCACCUUCAGCGGCCGAAGGAGUUCCUCCAGUAUACUCAGGCACCGAAGCCGGUUCAAUAUGGCGUGGUCGGUGUGUGAAGAUCUUCAGCCUUUUUCCUUUUGGUUCUGGCUCGCUAGGAGCGGUUCCAGCUUCUUCUUUUUCAGAGGUUAUGUUUUUCCUUUUUUGCCUUCGGAUGGGAUAACAAUAAUCAGGGUAGAAGAACCCGAUUGCAUCAAACACUCGGUUCAGUCUCUUCUUUUUUCGGCCUCCGAAGGCUGCUGAUAGUGCAGUAUUUUCAGCCUUCGAGAAUGCCCCAAGUAAUUCAUCACUUAAUGUUUCAAUGCUUUUCAGCCAGUCAUCAUCAGGUUCAAUAAAUUUAUCUGCAUAUUUGAAUGUGUAUUUUAAUCUGACUAGUCCGCCUUCGUCGGACUCUUUGAUGGUUUCUUUCGGCAUUUCCCACUUUUCUGCAAGUGGCCAUACCCUGAAGGCAAUGUGUUCCUGGACCAAGUCCCUUGUCCCAAUGAAGGAGCAGACUGCGCCGAAGGCUCUUUGGCAUUCUUCGGCUGCUUCAUCCAUUUCAACCUUCGGCCUUCGAAGCCCGAAGCGUUGCCAAAUUGGGUACAUAAUGAUACUUUUGACAUUAUUUUGCGCUGUUAGAUCAUUUUUCACAUAAAACCAUUCAGACAUCCAGGCUCCGGGCCACCUCUUCCGAAAGGUUGGCACAGGGUAGCUUGACCCGGAGCGGGCGCCGAAGCUGUAGCACCCAAAGUUGUUGUGGUAUUGCUCCUUUCCCCAGGGCUUCGUCUCGUACAAUAACUCGUGUAUGUUGCAGAAGCUUUUAGCGUUUGGUUCCAAACCUUGGCUUCUCGCAGCCCAGACAAAAAUUCCCAUUCUUAUAAUAGCUUCGGGAGUGAGUUGAUGAAGGUAGAUUUGGAAUGUUUUCAGUACCUCAAUAACAAAAUUGCUCAGGGGGAAUCGAAGCCCAGCCUUGAGGAGGCUUCGGAAAAUCACAACUUCAUCCUCUUCAGGGGUGGGAGAAGUCUUUUCCCCGGCGUCAGCUCUCACAAUAGAUAUGUCUCGGAAGUAUCGCCCCCUCAUAUUAUCAAUGUGACUCUGCUUGAUGGUUGUUUUCCCAAAAACUGAGUGACUUGGUCGCCACGGUCGAUCUUCGGCCUCUUCCCCAUCACUUUCCACAUCAUAGCUGUCGCUGUCAUCAGUAUCUUCGGACAAACCUUCAAGAAUCUCCUUCGUGAUUUUCUCUGUAUUAGUCUCUGCCAUCGCUAUCAGGAACCCCAGAUUCUUCUCCUCCUCGAGACUCAGCUUCGUCUCAGCAGGGAUCUUCUUGUCUUCAGACAUCUUCGGAAACACUAAAAAUUUGUUCCCAAAGCCGAAGCUUCGAAAUCAAAAAGACCAGCAAGUCUCAAUGAGCAAGAGCUAAAAAUUUUUAGUGGGCCGAAGCAAAAGGCAAGCGUGUGUACCAAAUGAAUUCACGAUGUGUUCCUAUUUAUACGCCUAGGGCGUUGAAAGUUAAAAGGCCCCGCUUGUCAGUGAAUGUUGCUAUUCUAGCAAAGGGAAGGUGUUUUUUCGGACCUUCGGCUCAAGGCCUUCGUCCAUAUCGCAAUCUGAAUUUAUUAUUUCAAACAAAUUAAUAUUGCGAGGGGCUACUGUUGGGGGCCUUCGGCUUCCGAAGGUCCUCAAAAACAUGAUUUAACAAUGUUUCUGGAGUAUAAUGUGUGAACAGGUAUCUUCGGACUUGAAUCAGAAAGGGAGAAGCUCAAAAGAUACGAAGGUUGACACAGUGCCGAAGCUGUGAAGCAGGAAAGCUUCGGCAUGUUCGCAGAAAGGGGAACCGACUUAAAGAUGAAAAGGCCAUUUAGAC
rnacentral:lncRNA from 1 species